UACGUAGGAUGCAAGCGUUGUCCGGAAUUAUUGGGCGUAAAGAGCGCGCAGGCGGCCUAUCAAGUCAGAUGUGAAAUAACCAGGCUUAACCUGGUGGGGUCAUUUGAAACUGGCAGGCUAGAGUACAGCAGAGGAUAGCGGAAUUCCCGGUGUAGUGGUGAAAUGCGUAGAUAUCGGGAGGAACACCAGUGGCGAAGGCGGCGAUCUGGGCUGCAACUGACGCUGAGGCGCGAAGGCUAGGGGAGCAAACAGG
rnacentral:rRNA from 1 species